CCUACGGGUGGCAGCAGUGGGGAAUAUUGCACAAUGGGGGAAACCCUGAUGCAGCGACGCCGCGUGAGGGAAGAAGGAACUCGGUAUGGAAAGCUCUAUCAGUAGGGAAGAAAAUGACGGUACCUGAGUAAGAAGCCCCGGCUAACUACGUGCCAGCAGCCGCGGUAAUACGGAGGGGGCAAGCGUGAUCCGGAUUUACUGGGUGUAAAGGGAGCGUAGACGGCUGUGCAAGUCUGGCGUGAAAGGCGGGGGCUCAACCCCCGGACUGCUCUGGAAACUGUACGGCUAGAGUGCAGGAGAGGUAAGUGGAAUCCCUAGUGUAGCGGUGAAAUGCGUAGAUAUUAGGAGGAACACCAGUGGCGAAGGCGGCUUACUGGACUGUAACUGACGUUGAGGCUCGAAAGCGUGGGGAGCAAACAGGAUUAGAUACCCGUGUAGUC
rnacentral:rRNA from 1 species